GACGAACGCUGGCGGCGUGCUUAACACAUGCAAGUCGAACGGAAAGGCCCCUUUUGGGGUACUCGAGUUGCGAACGGGUGAGUAACACGUUAGUAACCUGCCCUUUACUUCGGGAUAACUUCAGGAAACUGGGGCUAAUACCGGAUAGGAAUCCUUGCUGCAUGGUGGGGGUUGGAAAGCUUCGGCGGUUUUGGAUGGACUCGCGGCUUAUCAGCUUGUUGGUGGGGUAGUGGCUUACCAAGGCUUUGACGGGUAGCCGGCCUGAGAGGGCGACCGGCCACAUUGGGACUGAGAUACGGCCCAGACUCCUACGGGAGGCAGCAGUGGGGAAUAUUGCACAAUGGGCGGAAGCCUGAUGCAGCAACGCCGCGUGCGGGAUGACGGCCUUCGGGUUGGAAACCGCUUUCAGCAGGGGCGAAGCUUGUGGUGACGGUACCUGCAGAAGAAGCACCGGCUAACUACGUG
rnacentral:rRNA from 1 species